AUUGAACGCUGGCGGCAUGCUUUACACAUGCAAGUCGAACGGCAGCGCGGGCUUCGGCCUGGCGGCGAGUGGCGAACGGGUGAGUAAUACAUCGGAACGUGCCCAGGAGUGGGGGAUAGCUCGGCGAAAGCCGGGUUAAUACCGCAUACGACCUGAGGGGGAAAGCGGGGGAUCUUCGGACCUCGCGCUAUUGGAGCGGCCGAUGGCAGAUUAGCUAGUUGGUGGGGUAAAGGCCUACCAAGGCGACGAUCUGUAGCUGGUCUGAGAGGACGACCAGCCACACUGGGACUGAGACACGGCCCAGACUCCUACGGGAGGCAGCAGUGGGGAAUUUUGGACAAUGGGCGAAAGCCUGAUCCAGCAAUGCCGCGUGUGUGAUGAAGGCCUUCGGGUUGUAAAGCACUUUUGGCGGGAACGAAAAGGACUGUGCCAAUACCACGGUUCGAUGACGGUACCCGCAGAAUAAGCACCGGCUAACUACGUG
rnacentral:rRNA from 1 species